GAUGAACGCUGGCGGCGUGCUUAACACAUGCCAGUCGAACGAUGAAGCUCAGCUUGCUGGGUGGUUUAGUGGCGAACGGGUGAGUAACACGUGAGUAACCUGCCCUUAACUCUGGGAUAAGCCUGGGAAACUAGGUCUAAUACCGGAUAGGAGCGCCUACCGCAUGGUGGGUGUUGGAAAAAUUUAUCGGUUUUGGAUGGACUCGCGGCCUAUCAGCUUGUUGGUGAGGUAAUGGCUCCCCAAGGCGACGACGGGUAGCCGGCCUGGGAGGGUGACCGGCCACACUGGUACUGCGACACGGACCAGACUCCUACGGGAGGCAGCAGUGGGGAAUAUUGCACAAUGGGCGAAAGCCUGAUGCAGCGACGCCGCGUGAGGGAUGACGGCCUUCGGGUUGUAAACCUCUUUCAGUAGGGAAGAAGCGAAAGUGACGGUACCUGCAGAAGAAGCACCGGCUAACUACGUG
rnacentral:rRNA from 1 species